rnacentral:rRNA from 1 species
AGUGAACGCUGGCGGUAGGCCUAACACAUGCAAGUCGAACGGCAGCACAGUAAGAGCUUGCUCUUACGGGUGGCGAGUGGCGGACGGGUGAGGAAUACAUCGGAAUCUACUUUUUCGUGGGGGAUAACGUAGGGAAACUUACGCUAAUACCGCAUACGACCUACGGGUGAAAGCAGGGGAUCUUCGGACCUUGCGCGAUUGAAUGAGCCGAUGUCGGAUUAGCUAGUUGGCGGGGUAAAGGCCCACCAAGGCGACGAUCCGUAGCUGGUCUGAGAGGAUGAUCACCCACACUGGAACUGAGACACGGUCCAGACUCCUACGGGAGGCAGCAGUGGGGAAUAUUGGACAAUGGGCGCAAGCCUGAUCCAGCCAUACCGCGUGGGUGAAGAAGGCCUUCGGGUUGUAAAGCCCUUUUGUUGGGAAAGAAAAGCAGCAGGUUAAUACCCCGCUGUUCUGACGGUACCCAAAGAAUAAGCACCGGCUAACUCCGUG